CAAAGUUUGUAGAAGAGCGACGCAAGCAGCUACAAAAUUACCUAAGGAACGUAAUGAACAAAAUUAUUCAAACUGUGCCAGAAUUCACAGCCAAUCCCAAAAAAGAGACACUUAUUCAGCUGAUGCCCUUUUUUGUUGAUAUUCCACCUUCUGGAGAGCCAGUGAGCAAAGGCAAUCGCUCGAGGGUGACCCCGCGCUUCCCCAAACUGUCCCGCAGCCACCAAAGGGAGCCCCGGAGCCUGGAACCCCAGAGUGGGGAUCUCUGACCCUUUUUCCUAAUUGUGAACACGGGCACCACGUACUUUAAGUUGUUCUGUGAUUCCUUCCUAGCCUAUAUUUAUAAUUUAAGCUCCUGAAGAGACUACAGCUGCAUCAACUUAAAUCCUGAAAAGAGACAUUCAUUGCCAAGGGUCAUAUCCUGAUUAACUACUUUGGAAGGCAGUAAUCACUUUCUCAAAAGAAUAUGAGAGCUCUUCACCAGAGCUCAGCAAACUGAUGGCAUUUUCUUUGUUUUGUAAAGCUGCACUGCACAUAUUCUCCUUUGUUCCCCUGAAGUCCUUCUUUUACAAUGAAUUCCUUGUUUGUAUUAUGUUGUCUCCCUUUUAACAUGUACAUUUUUCUGUUCCAGAGAGACAUGGGUAUCCUGUCAAGACAAUUUUUUUUUUCCUUAGGAGAACGGUUUUGAUUAGCACUACUUAAUAUGUCAGAAGGAUGUGCUUAAAAGAACCUCACUAAUUUAUUACCUUUUGUAAAUAGAAAGACUGGGUUGUUUUGGUUUUUUUUUUAUUGUAAACCUCUGACACGCAAAGGUUUUUAAAAAAACUUGACAAUGUAGAUGAUGAGAAAAACAUUACAGGUGGAAAAAUAGCUUUUGUACAUUUCUAGUUAGAUAUUCUCAAUAGCUUUCAUUUGUGGGAAGUAUUCUUUAAAAUCAGAGAAUGUAAUAAUUUUUUAGUAAAAUUUCAGUCCUGCUGGAAGGCAGAUGCAAUAUUAUUAAUUUUUACAAACCACUGCAAGGAUACACAAAAUUAGCAUGGUGCAAAAUAGUGCUUUCAAGUCUUGGGUUAUAUUUUGUUAUCAGUUUGUUGCUGAUGUUACAGAAUAGUCCAUCAUUAAUCUGAUUUUGUAAAACCCUUCACACAGUGAUACUUAAAAAUUGCCUGUAAUGAAAGUGCCUGUUACCCAUCACCUCUUAUUGAAAAGUAAUUUGUAAUGCUACUACUGUAAGAGUGACUAAAAUAUUGACAAGAAUUAUUACAAGUGAUGGAAGUCCUGACAUGGAUUAACUGGAAUCCAGUUCAGUAUCCAUUAGUUGCACUGCCGUAGGCAGUUAAUUAUGUUUUAGCUAUCUUCUUCUCUUCAUUAAGUUUAAGCAGUAUACGUUCAAAUUUUCCAUUAAUUGUAUUCUGGUUUUCCUUUGUGUAAGAAUAUCUUUCUUCUCAGAAGUUUUUUUGGAUAAUGUUACUUAAAUUGAUGUAUCUUGUCAUUUUAUUAUCCAUUCAUUAUAUUAAAUUCUCACGUCAGUAGAUACUAAAACCUUAUAUCAUUCUCCAGAAAAAAAACCAAGCUGAUGAUUAAUGACAGGGUUUUUUUACCUCACUGAUUUACUAAAGUUCUAGCAAACUGGAACUUGUGUCCUGCAAACCUGUGACCACUGUGUGUUGUUCAGGCAAGUGAGUGGUCCAGUCAUUUUUGGUGGCACUUCCUGGGUGAGUGGGGGUUUGUUACACACAGUGAGGAGCAUCAGUGCCUGAGUAUGACCCCAAGUGCUGGCUUCCUACCACUGAAAUAUGUAGCUCUCAGAUUGCACUGGAUAGCAAACCGUGGCAGAGAGGAGUGGAAUUCACUCCUCAGGUCAGAAAUUUCCGUAGGUGAAAUACCACAAAGUAAAAUCAUGUCACAGAAAUGAAACAAGAUUUUUCAGUCAGUGAGAGUCCCAAAACAGAUAAAUAACAAAGCCCAAAGGGCAGCCUGAGAACAAGUGCGUUUCUUUUCAUUAACAGAUGAAUUACUGUUGGUGUUUUGUGUAAGUUACAGUGGGACACUUAUUUGAGAAGAAGGCAAAGUGAGUAGUUUGUCAGUUAAGUAGCUUCUCCAGACUUUUGUCUGAUGCACUGCUGCUGGUUUAGUUUGUUGGAAAGAGAAGUAGCUUUAAUGAUGAUCCCACUUUGAAACAAUUCUAUUUUUCAGAAAGUGUAGACUUGGUUAAUAGAAACAUGGCAUACAUCUAUUAACACUGAAUUGCAAGUAAAUCUGAAAGAAAACACUGUGUGGUAACCUUUGUGAUGUGUCUGUCACAUGGAGAUAUAUUAAUUUUCAGGAAGUAAUUCUCAGAUUCAAAUACUUCUUAUUCAGAAAGCUGAAAAUGAUAAGAAAUCUCAUUUAGCACAGACUGAAUUUUUUUUAGUUGUUUGAAAGGAAUUGUUUGUAUCUGCAUUUGGCUCUUAAAAUUAUUUCAUCCCUGAUUGUCUUGCUUCUUGUAAUUUUAAUGUAUGUAUGUAGAUCACAUAAAAAUACUGAACUUGUUUACCAUGUACAAAUUGCUCUUUGUUAACUGUGGCUGAACUGUGUAUCAGCUCCCAAGAUUACAGUCUGCAAACAAUGUUCACUUGGUGAUACAAGAUACUGUAAUGGGGGCAUUACUAAUCCAUUUAAAAGCUCAGCUGUGAUUUCUCUAAAAUCCCAGAAAAUAAUCAAAUGAAAGCCUUUCUUCACAAGGUAGCUUUCUCACUUCAUAGCCCUGGUUAUUUUGAAGAUCAGUGAGGAACCUGUACGACUGCAAGUAGGUGCCUAGUGACAGGAAUGCCCAAAUUUUUAGCACCUCAAGACAUUCUAACAUGCUCUUAGAAUCUGUUGCAAAUCCCACUUCUGAUAAUUCACCAGAAUCAGCAAAGUCUGUUAAGAAGGUUGACCAGCUGGGAUUAAGAAUGCCAAGGACUUCUGUUAUUCUAAUAAAAUAUCUGUAAGUGUAACAAUUAUUCCAUCACUUGAAUGAUUUGAUCAGUUUAUCCUGUGUCACCUAAUUUCAUGCUCAUGGUUACAAUUUUUGUCCAGGUCCAACUUCCUUUGGCACUGGCUCAGAGCUCUGAAACCCCUGUAUGUGCUCAGUGAGUUGAUGGGUUGGACCAUUCCUGUUGGUGCUGUAAUUCCAGGACAGAGUGUGGGCCCUGGGCUGUGGCCUGGCACGAGGCAGUGGAGAGGAAUUUGUGGUAUCAUUUGCAUUUCAUUCCUGCUUCAUCUUUAGAUGUAUUAGGUCUCCAGGGCUUCUCAUCAGUGACUAUUGAAAAUAAACUGUAAAAAAGUGGCACAACUUUUACUGUAAUGCUGUUGUCCAAUCACAUGGAAAAUGAACGUUUUCCUGAGAAACACAGAGCAGGCAAAGCUGUUCCAGCUUUUGCAGAUGUGUCUAUCAGUAUUCAUCACAGACUGAGUGUGGUUUUUCAGAAUCUCAUUUAUUUAGAGAUUCUGUCAUUCAUUAUAGCAUUGUGUCGACUUGGCUUUUGCAAAUUAAAUCAAAGUUCUCAAUAAUAAAAAUAAUAAUAAUAAAUUUCCAAGGUUUAUAUGAGGCAGGAUAUUGGCAUAGUUAUAAAGGCUUAAAUUGAUAUGUCCAUUAAGUCAUAUAUUCUUAGGAAGAUAAUAAUUUCAAAGCCAGUCUUUUUUAUGGAAUAUAUUGUUGAUGUGAUAGUUGUAAUCAAAUUAUAAUACCUUGCAGAAUUUACUGCAAGUCAUAAACCAUUGAGAUUGGAUUAAUACAAGUAUUUAGAGAAAGAACAUAAUGGUAAUAAAGAUUACUGGCUCAAAAUUCUGACCUAUUGCUAAGGUGCUUUUUAUUUUUUUUUGUUACAAAGUCAUGUUUUAUUAUAUAGAACAAUAUCUGCAUGGUAGCUGUCAAAUUAAUUAAUAGGAUCCUACUAACAAAUGGGGUUGACUGACUCAGAGCAGCCAGCUAAUAAUAAAUGAGACUUGGUGAACCCCCAGUGAACUAAUGAUGCUUCUGUCAGGAUAUAUUAAUGGGUUAAGAAUAUGAUCUUUUGUUACCAGAAUCAGUUAUUGGUGCUUUCACAUAUGGAUGUCAUUCCUUUUCCUCCAGAGAAAGCAGGGAUCUCAGUGCUGCUCCAAGUUCCAUGCUGUUCCCAAGGUUCCACCCUGCCACUCCAAAACAUUUUUCAUCUAAUGCCUCGGAAUUCUGAGCACAGAUAAUAUAUACCUGUGGAUAAAAAUACAGUUACUUGCUUGAAAUUACAGUGAGAAACCUGUGGAACAGCUGGUUAAAAGAAAGAAAAAAAGUGCUUCUUGACCAAAUUGUGCUGCUCUACACCCUUGCAAAUCUUGGGAACAGCACUGGGCUCUUCCAGCUGGAACUCUAGGAUAUAUGGAAAGAAACCUAUUUAACAUGAGAAUACAACUUUCUCCUUGGAAACAAUAAUACUUCUGUGUUGGAUCUUGAGUCACUUCUAGAAAAGUGAUUUAACAGCUCAAGAAAGGAAAGAAUUUCUCUCCUUCACUUUCUAUAGGUGAGGGUGUUUGAGUCAGCACCCUGCUCCACAUGGAAUAUUCACUUGAUGAUGAUUUUGUCAUUUCAGUAGUUUCUUAGCAUUUUGUAUGCAAAGAAACACUUCACUGUAUGAAAUUAUCUAUAUGAAAUAUAGAAUAUGUUUAAAAAUACCAGUUAACCUGCUUCGUGUUUCACAUAUUGAAUGGAAGAUAAAACACUUGUUCUACACAGUGGUCUGACACUGUACAUUGAAUUUAUUUCUUAUUCUGCACUAACUGUGCUUUUAUGGUCCAGUUAUAGAGAACUUAGAUUAUUUGUAAAAUUUCUUUAACAAAAAUAAUCAGAGCAUACUUCUAAACAAUAAUAAUGGCUUAGUUUUUGGUUCAUAAUGGCAUGAAUUUAUACUGGACAACAGCACUGAAAUGUUUAGAGAGGAAUGAAUGUUCCAGAUUUACAAAUUUCUGCAAACAUCUGGACUUAAAAAAAACCCAAGAUUGUUUUUUAUUGCAUCAAAACAAGUUUGUUGCACUUCCACGUAGGGGAAUCAGUUCCUUUAACAAGAUUUCAGAAAUUAUCUCCAUGCCCUGGCAGUAGUUAAAUUGUGAUGAGUGGUUUUCUUAUUAAUCAUUUAAGACACUAAAAAUUAUCAAACUGUAAGUGUGGUUGAAAAUACAGUUCUGAAAGGCUGUGCUUUCUUUCUCACUUGACACUGAGAUAAAUAAGUGUCUUAUGUAUGGAACAAAACCUGUUGGCAACUGAAGAAGCUGGAUUUCCCUUUUCACUUGGGGAGGGAGUUUUUUUUUGUUCUUCCUGUUAAACUGUAGAAAAUAUAGUAUUAAUUCUUAAGCAUAUAUAUGUACAGUAUUCACAUAAGUAUUAAUAAACUAAUAUUAUUUUAACUCGUUAUGCUAAUGUUUACAUUAUAGAAUUUUUAAGCAAAUGUGUAUAUAUAAAAUUUUCUAAAUACUUUCUUUUUUUUUUAUUAUUAUUAUUAAAUAUCCUGUGGUAAUUUUAUUGUAAUCUGGUUAAAAUAUGCUACUUUACCAAGAAGAAAAUAAAAAAUAACAUCA